rnacentral:lncRNA from 1 species
CAUAAGGCCAUCCACCAUAAUCCCAUCCUCCACAAUGUCAUCGUCACAAUGCCAUCCACCAUAAUGCCAUCCACCAUAAUGCUAUCUGCCAUAAGGGCCUUACCAGAGACAAGACAAUGCCAGUGCCAGGCCAAUGCUAGUACCAUGCCCUGAACCUCCACAACUAUUCAACAACAAAAUAAAGAAGAUUCAAAAUAAAGAAUAGAUGAACAUGAAGAUAGACCAAUGGAAAUUAUCUAAUCUGAACAAUAGAGGACAUAAAUGUACAGAUUCAAAAAUUCCAGUCACAAGCAGAAGACAGCGAAUCACCCCGCUGCAGACAGGCAGGUCUGCCCACACCCCUACCUAGGUCCCCAGUCAGGCGGAACACAUACCGAAUCAGCCAGCUGCAGACAGGCAGGUCUGUGCACGCCCUACCAAGGUCCUGAGUCCCACGGAAGACACCGAAUCACCCCGCUGCAGACAGGCAGCCACCUAGUUCCACACUACAAAGACGCAGAGGACACCAGACCACCAGACCAAGGUCAGAGACAGAGGAUAUCAGAGAUUCAAAACAUGAGAAGGAUCUGAUACACCCUUCUGGCUUAAAGACAAAGGAAGACACAUGGCUAGAAGUGUAGGUGGCCUCUAGGAGCUGAGAAAGCAUCUAUGACAGCCACGCAGGAAAUGGUGGCCUCGUACUCUGGAGAUUCAGUGGAUUCAGCUCCCAGAUGAGAACUCGGUGCAGCCCAUACAGUGUUGAUUGCUUUGUGAACAGAACCAAGCCAUGCCAGACUUCUGAGCUCCAGAAAUGUGAACUAAUCCCAGGUGUUAUUUCAAGUUCCUAAAUGCAUGAUACGUUGUUACACAGGAGUAGAAAACUAACAUAAUCAUAUAUAGCUUUCCAAAUCCAUGCAGAUAAAUAUUUCUAAUUCUUUUUUAAG